GGGAAAUACCCGAAGAGCCCUGGGUGCUGUA
rnacentral:piRNA from 1 species